rnacentral:rRNA from 1 species
UACGUAGGGUGCAAGCGUUGUCCGGAAUUAUUGGGCGUAAAGAGCUCGUAGGCGGUCUGUCGCGUCGGAUGUGAAAAUCCAGGGCUCAACCCUGGACCUGCAUUCGAUACGGGCAGACUAGAGUUCGGUAGGGGAGACUGGAAUUCCUGGUGUAGCGGUGAAAUGCGUAGAUAUCGGAAGGAACACCAGUGGCGAAAGCGGACUUCCUGGUCCAGCACCGACGUUCAGGCACGAAAGCGUGGGGAGCAAACAGGG